rnacentral:lncRNA from 1 species
AUGAGCUUCCUGCUCAUGGUGGAGAAGGCAGAGUGGUGCUGCCAGAUAACAUCAGGCAAGCAGCACCAAGAGCUACAUGGAGGAAAGACUGAAGCCUUUCCUGGGGCACAAGCAGAGCCGAGAGAGCCAAGCCAAACCCUGGGUGUGAAACAGGAACAAGCAAGUCGAGGAGAUGAUCUGGACCCAGAAAGUACAUGGAAGUUGGUGCUCAAGACAACUUGGUGGGUAUGAAUUCAAAGUUGAAAUCCACAAAACGUCCUAAACUCUACCCAGUGGAGCGGGACAACUCCCACUGCUAAUGCAAUCUACUCUCUCUUCUUUACCUAUUUGGGUUUGUUAGCAUUUGUCAAGUUCACUGAUAGAAAAGCAACCUUUUGUUAAGAAAGGAACAUGCAGAAAAUGCAUUGACUUCAGCCCUCUUCAGGGGUAGGGGGAGAAGGGAUGAUAAGAAACAGACAGGGCCACGUGUUCAGGUUCUGCCUUUGUCCUGCCUAGAAGAGACCAUGUAGUCCAAUCUCCUAAUCUUACAGAUGAGAAAACUGAGGCACGGGUGACUUGCCCAAUGGUAACUUUGUAAAACACAGGGGUUGGAAUAGAUGAUCUCUGAAAUUUCUUUUAGCUAGAACUUCUAUGCACUUAUUAUUAAAACACAUGCCAAACUGGGGACCUCCAGAAUUCUGGAAAGGACUACUUUGGACAGGGAGCUUUUCAGGGACUUCAGUCUCCAUCCCGAUCCAAUGCUAGCUUUCUAGAGCUUGAGCAGGCUCAUGCCUAGGGCUCAGGACUUCAACCAAUCCAAGUCUAAAAGAAUCUUCCUAGAUGCAGCAGGAGUUGGCAACCCCAUACCAUCGCUCAAGGAAAACAAGACCCCUGAGUUCAUGUGGUCAUCGCUUUCCCUUCUUCCUAUGCCAUCUGGACAUGACCAAGAUGGGCAUUCGUUAGGAAGCCUUUAAUCGGUUUGGGGGGGCCACUAUUCAUCCUCCACCUUUUUCCUCGUCCUCUUGAUCUCUUGUAUUGUCUUUCUGAAGCAUUAGGGAGAGUUUGUCAUCAAUGAUGCCACCAAAGUCUUGGUGGACCAACAGCAAGACGGGAUUCACAUGUAUCCCCGGAGAGCCAGAAUAGUAGGAAUAGGAAGGAGGGAAGGAGCAUAUUCAAGUACACCCCCUGCUCGGAAAGGACUCACACCAGCAUACUAAGGCUUAGAGAAGGUAGGCAAUGCUAGACUCCAUUCUUUGACUGAAGUAGAAACUUUGUUGUUAACAAGAAAAAACUUCUUGAUACAAACUAGAACAACCUCUUAGGAAAGGUGGUUGCCCUCAGAUGUAACAGAUGGAACUGCUUGGGAUGUACAAGGUAAGGUUUUGCCUCCAAGUCCCAGGGAAUGAGUUAGGGGGCUGCUAAAAAGGGAACGGGCAAUUUUUUGUCCUGGGUGUCCAGGAGGAGCUGGAAGAACACUAUCAAGAAGACUCCUGCAGAGUGUGUAGUAUGGUGCUUAAUAAAUACUUGCUGCCUGACUCUGUGCUAGGCGCU